rnacentral:rRNA from 1 species
UACGUAGGGGGCAAGCGUUGUCCGGAAUCAUUGGGCGUAAAGAGCGCGUAGGCGGUCCGGUAAGUCGGUUGUGAAAACUGGGGGCUCAACCCUCAGAGGCCGACCGAUACUGCCGGGCUAGAGUCCGGAAGAGGCGAGUGGAAUUCCCGGUGUAGCGGUGAAAUGCGCAGAUAUCGGGAGGAACACCAGUAGCGAAGGCGGCUAUCUGGACGGCUUCUGACACUAAGACACGAAAGCGUGGGGAGCAAACAGGG